UACGUAGGGGGCUAGCGUUGUCCGGAUUUAUUGGGCGUAAAGAGCGUGUAGGCGGCCAGGUAGGUCUGCUGUGAAAACUCGAGGCUCAACCUCGAGACGUCGGCGGAAACCAUCUGGCUAGAGUCCGGAAGAGGAGAGUGGAAUUCCUGGUGUAGCGGUGAAAUGCGUAGAUAUCGGGAGGAACACCAGUGGCGAAGGCGACUUCCUGGCCUGUUCUUGACGCUGAGGCGCGAAAGCUAGGGUAGCAAACGGG
rnacentral:rRNA from 1 species